AGGAUGAACGCUGGCGGCGUGCCUAAUACAUGCAAGUCGAGCGAACGGACGAGAAGCUUGCUUCUCUGAUGUUAGCGGCGGACGGGUGAGUAACACGUGGAUAACCUACCUAUAAGACUGGGAUAACUUCGGGAAACCGGAGCUAAUACCGGAUAAUAUUUUGAACCGCAUGGUUCAAAAGUGAAAGACGGUCUUGCUGUCACUUAUAGAUGGAUCCGCGCUGCAUUAGCUAGUUGGUAAGGUAACGGCUUACCAAGGCAACGAUGCAUAGCCGACCUGAGAGGGUGAUCGGCCACACUGGAACUGAGACACGGUCCAGACUCCUACGGGAGGCAGCAGUAGGGAAUCUUCCGCAAUGGGCGAAAGCCUGACGGAGCAACGCCGCGUGAGUGAUGAAGGUCUUCGGAUCGUAAAACUCUGUUAUUAGGGAAGAACAUAUGUGUAAGUAACUGUGCACAUCUUGACGGUACCUAAUCAGAAAGCCACGGCUAACUACGUGCCAGCAGCCGCGGUAAUACGUAGGUGGCAAGCGUUAUCCGGAAUUAUUGGGCGUAAAGCGCGCGUAGGCGGUUUUUUAAGUCUGAUGUGAAAGCCCACGGCUCAACCGUGGAGGGUCAUUGGAAACUGGAAAACUUGAGUGCAGAAGAGGAAAGUGGAAUUCCAUGUGUAGCGGUGAAAUGCGCAGAGAUAUGGAGGAACACCAGUGGCGAAGGCGACUUUCUGGUCUGUAACUGACGCUGAUGUGCGAAAGCGUGGGGAUCAAACAGGAUUAGAUACCCUGGUAGUCCACGCCGUAAACGAUGAGUGCUAAGUGUUAGGGGGUUUCCGCCCCUUAGUGCUGCAGCUAACGCAUUAAGCACUCCGCCUGGGGAGUACGACCGCAAGGUUGAAACUCAAAGGAAUUGACGGGGACCCGCACAAGCGGUGGAGCAUGUGGUUUAAUUCGAAGCAACGCGAAGAACCUUACCAAAUCUUGACAUCCUUUGACAACUCUAGAGAUAGAGCCUUCCCCUUCGGGGGGGCAAAGUGACAGGUGGUGCAUGGUUGUCGUCAGCUCGUGUCGUGAGAUGUUGGGUUAAGUCCCGCAACGAGCGCAACCCUUAAGCUUAGUUGCCAUCAUUAAGUUGGGCACUCUAAGUUGACUGCCGGUGACAAACCGGAGGAAGGUGGGGAUGACGUCAAAUCAUCAUGCCCCUUAUGAUUUGGGCUACACACGUGCUACAAUGGACAAUACAAAGGGCAGCGAAACCGCGAGGUCAAGCAAAUCCCAUAAAGUUGUUCUCAGUUCGGAUUGUAGUCUGCAACUCGACUACAUGAAGCUGGAAUCGCUAGUAAUCGUAGAUCAGCAUGCUACGGUGAAUACGUUCCCGGGUCUUGUACACACCGCCCGUCACACCACGAGAGUUUGUAACACCCGAAGCCGGUGGAGUAACCUUUUAGGAGCUAGCCGUCGAAGGUGGGACAAAUGAUUGGGGUGAAGUCGUAACAAGGUAGCCGUAUCGGAAGGUGCGGCUGGAUCACCUCCUUU
rnacentral:rRNA from 1 species